rnacentral:rRNA from 1 species
UACGAAGGGGGCUAGCGUUGCUCGGAAUUACUGGGCGUAAAGCGCACGUAGGCGGUCUUUUAAGUCGGGGGUGAAAUCCUGGAGCUCAACUCCAGAACUGCCUUCGAUACUGGAAGACUUGAGUCCGGGAGAGGUGAGUGGAACUGCGAGUGUAGAGGUGAAAUUCGUAGAUAUUCGCAAGAACACCAGUGGCGAAGGCGGCUCACUGGCCCGGUACUGACGCUGAGGUGCGAAAGCUAGGGGAGCAAACGGG